UCUGGUUGAUCCUGCCAGAGGUUACUGCUAUCGAGGUUCGACUAAGCCAUGCGAGUCGAAUGUAGCAAUACAUGGCGUACUGCUCAGUAACACGUGGACAACCUACCCUUAGGACGGGGAUAAACCCGGGAAACUGGGUAUAAUACCCGAUAGUCCUCGGCCGCUGGAAUGCUCCGAGGACUAAAGCUCCGGCGCCUAAGGAUGGGUCUGCGGCCUAUCAGGUAGUAGUGGGUGUAGCGUACCUACUAGCCUACGACGGGUACGGGUUGUGAGAGCAAGAGCCCGGAGAUGGAUUCUGAGACACGAAUCCAGGCCCUACGGGGUGCAGCAGGCGCGAAAACUUUACAAUGCCGGCAACGGCGAUAAGGGGACCUCGAGUGCCAGGUUACAAAUCUGGCUGUCGUGAUGCCUAAAAAGCAUUGCAUAGCAAGGGCCGGGCAAGACCGGUGCCAGCCGCCGCGGUAACACCGGCGGCUCGAGUGGUAACCGUUAUUAUUGGGUCUAAAGGGUCUGUAGCCGGCCGGAUAAGUCUCUUGGGAAAUCUGGCAGCUUAACUGUCAGGCUUUCAGGAGAUACUGUCUGGCUCGAGGCCGGGAGAGGUGAGAGGUACUUCAGGGGUAGGGGUGAAAUCUUGUAAUCCUUGAAGGACCACCAGUGGCGAAGGCGUCUCACCAGAACGGACCUGACGGCAAGGGACGAAAGCUAGGGGCACGAACCGGAUUAGAUACCCGGGUAGUCCUAGCCGUAAACGAUACUCGCUAGGUGUCGGCCACGGUGCGACCGUUGUCGGUGCCGUAGGGAAGCCGUGAAGCGAGCCACCUGGGAAGUACGGCCGCAAGGCUGAAACUUAAAGGAAUUGGCGGGGGAGCACCACAACGGGUGGAGCUUGCGGUUUAAUUGGAUUCAACGCCGGAAAUCUUACCGGGACCGACAGCAAUAUGAAGGCCAGGCUGAAGACUUUGCCGGAUUAGCUGAGAGGUGGUGCAUGGCCGUCGUCAGUUCGUACUGUGAAGCAUCCUGUUAAGUCAGGCAACGAGCGAGACCCACGCCCACAGUUGCCAGCGUACUCUCCGGAGUGACGGGUACACUGUGGGGACCGCCGCUGCUAAAGCGGAGGAAGGAAUGGGCAACGGUAGGUCAGUAUGCCCCGAAUAUCCCGGGCUACACGCGAGCUACAAUGGUUGGUACAAUGGGUAUCUACCCCGAAAGGGGAUGGAAAUC
rnacentral:rRNA from 1 species